rnacentral:lncRNA from 1 species
GUUCUCAUUCCAAAACUAAUUCAGACCAUGACAUAUUCAAUAUGUUAGACUUCUCAUCUAACAGUACACAUUCAUCCAAGCAUUAAUAUAACUACAUUUAAAUUUCCAGAAAUUAAUAUUAACCCCACGCAUAUCAUGUUUUUUAUCAUUCAAGCUCAAAUAAUCAUACCCUAAUUUCCUUGCCCCAACAUAAUCACAGAACAAUACUAUACUAAAUCAAAAUCAAUUUAGCUCUCCAUACCUGGAAAAUUAAUCUUCCUCACUAACAACUUCUACCGAGCUUAAAACCCCGCACUGCUCUUCUCGCAACCUCUUUCUUUCACUCAAGUCGAACCCUAACACCCACCUUAGAUUCCUCUUUUUCCAUUACUCGCCUUGAAAACAAGCCUAAUCCCUAGUUAUUUUGUCUCCAAGCAUUUAAUGUCCUCUCUCUCACUCGGCGCUAUUUCCCCUCUGGCCAUAUGGUUUCAGAUAACAAAAAUAAAAAGAAAACAAAGGAGGAAGAAGGGAUGAUGGAAGCCACUCCGAGAAGAACACCAAGUGAAGCGAUGUUGACUUCUUGAAGCUCCCUCCAGUGAAUGAAUCGUAUCGGAAUGAUGACGAUAUUUCAAAGGACAACUCGAAUCAUAGGAUGAAAUCAUAGAAACUCCAAAACCCUAGGUUAAUCGGUUGAAAACCCUACGAUGAGGAAGAACCCUAAUCUGGACACGAAGGAACCUAGAAAGGUGAAGAAACUCAAAAUUAACCGAUUAAUCGAUUCAAACUUAAGAUUAAACGGUGGAAAUGCUAGUUUGUUCGUUGGAAAGUAGUUUAAUCGAUGCAAAAUGGAAAUCAAUCGAUGGAAAUGGAGAAAAACAUAAAAAAAUAGGUGUUCUAGGGCUUGGGAACUCGAAAAAUGAAGAGGAGACCGAGAUGUGAAAAAUGAAGGAAGGAGACGAUUAUGUAAUGAAAUGAGACUUACGAUGAAGUUCGCAGAUGAAGAACUCUUCGAGAACGAAAGAGAGAGAAAAAUGUGUUUCGGAUCAAGAAAAUGUGAGAAAUGAAGGGUGGAGUAAUGUUAGGAAUUUCACCCUUCUCCUCUCAUAAACUCCCCAAGUCCUAACAUUACUCCCCCCUUGAGAUUCAACCUUGUCCCCAAGGUUAAAUUCAGGAAAUUGUUCCUGUAUCAUCACCCGGUCCUCCCACGUCACGUUUUUCAGCCCUUCACUAUGCCAUUCAAUCAGUACUUGUUCUUGUUGGUCUCCCUCGAGCUGCUGAAUACGCCUAUCAAGCACCCUGUUAGGAAAACAGGUAGGCCCACUCAUCUGUAAAUCUUCCUGGUCCAUCUCAACGCCUUCCUCAGAGAUCUAAUGGCCUAGGUAUUGGAUUUGUGUUUUCCCGAAUGCACACUUUUUUUGAUUCGCGACCCAACCGUGCUUCUCCAACAACUGCAGCACCAUCUUUAAAUGCUCGACAUGCUUUGCCCAUGUGGGGCUGUAGACCAAUAUGUCAUCAAAAAAACGAGCACCCACUUCCUCAAGAAAGGCACCUGUAGGGACGAACAUUUAUAGGAUUUUCCCCUUCCUUCAACACUAUUCAGUGCUCCAGAUUGCAUUUGGGAGGCAAACCUUCUCUCUCCUAGAACACAUGGUAGUGGGACUGCAGCACUGCUCUGAGUUCCACUUUCUGCUUUUCUGCCAACUCCUCAGUCAUGUCAUCGCCUGUCUCCUGCUCCACUACUCCUAAUUCCCAUACCAAGACCCAUGAGUCAGCAUACACCAUCUUCAACAACGCUUUUGGCUCCACUAGCUGGCACGAUAAAGCUGGGUCCCCUUUUAUCAAGACCUUAUCGCCCCCCACGACACACUGCAUGGACAUUACUUUCCAAUUCAACACGACCUCUCCCAGCUUAGCCAGCCAAGCAAUACCCAGGAUAACGUCUACUCCCCCCAGCUCAAACACGUAAAAAUCCUCUUCCAUGAUGGCAUUCCCCAGACCUAUCUUCACCUUCUCGCAUCGUCCCUGCAUCGUUCUUUUGUGUCCAUCUCCAAGGCUCAAGGUGUAAGUAGGCAUCUCAGUCACCGAAAGCUCCAACUCCUCCAACACUCUACGGCUGAUGAAAUUGUGACUAGCCCCGGUAUCAAUAAGGACCACCACCCUCCGUUCUCCGAUUAAUCCUAUCAAUUUCAUGGUCUUGGGAGGUGUCAGUCCCUCCGCCCAACACACCGAUAACUCCAUGGGUUUCGUCUCCUCCACUGUUUCUUCGUUCAACUCCUCCUCCUCGUCCUCCGUCAGCAGUAAAACUCUCAGGCUCUUUUCUGAGCAUCGAUGGGCGGGACCAAAAGGACCCCCACACUAGAAACAUCUACCUUCUUCUCUCUUUUUCAAGAACUCUGGACAAGGUAAGUUUCUUAUCGUUCGGAUCCUAUUGUCCUGACCAUACGGUCUACGACUGAUCUCUGACCCAUCCAAGUCGUUCGGACUUCCCAUAUCGUUCGGUCUCCCCAUACUGUUCGGUCUUCCCAUACCGUUCGGUCCUGCUCCACUCCCUGUUCCAACACCUUCAACUCCGUUCGGUCGACUGUUCUCGUUUCUCGUCACAGCCCCGACCACUCGUCCCCAUGGUUGCAGACCCUUCAUCACAUUACGACCUCCUCCACGCGCUCUGAAAAUAGCAUCCUCCACAUCCCUAGCGAUCCUAAUCGCCCCCUCCAAUUCCUUAGGAUCUUGGAUGCGGACUUGGCCCUUAAUGUCUUCCUUCAACCCCGCCAAGAAAAACCCUAACGUCAAUUCUUCCGUCAAGCCUUGUGUCUGUCCCAGCAACAUCUCGAAACUCCUAACUGCCUUGGCAGUUAGGCUGUGUAAUUGUUUUACUAUAUACAAGUAGUGGCCUAACAUCUUUGUUGUCAUGUCUUGAUCGAAUUCUCAAAAGUGGAACUUUCACUUGGCAUAGCUCACCAAAUUCCUUCCACUUCAUGGCUGGCUUGUUGCAAUUCUCAGAUCUCUAGUCAUGGUAGCCACCUUCCAAGCAAACCCUCAAGUGUAUCCUACUUGAGAACUUGGUCUCUUUCUUCUUUUCCCUUUCAACAACGACAUUUUUUCAAGGUUAAACCACCUUCUGUUCACAGGCUUAUGGUCAAACCUCCUUUGCACAUUGUGUAAAGGAAUGACACACCUUCAUAGGAUUUCAUCUUUGUUUGGACCAACCCUACCUUCUGCAGUCAAAACCAAAGGCUCCUCAAAUGGCUCCUGGAUGUCCUCGUCAACACUCCCCUCCUGUCACUCCGCUACAAUUUCCUCACAAACGGUACUUCGAUUUAAUCCACCAAACCUCCGCGUCAAAGCAUCGAUGAACAUCUUCCAAGUCGGAUGCAUGGUUUUCUUCCGCCAUAAGCGGAACCAAAAACUCACUAAACCUCCCUCCAUGCAUCUAUAGACGAGCUUCAUCUUCUCCUUCUUUGUGACGCUCUAGAGGUCGAAGAGUUUCUCUGCCUGUGCAAUCCAGCCCAUGGGAUUUGCACCUUCAAAUGUUGGUAGUUCAACGCACUUCCUCUAACUGCGUUGAACUUCUCUGUCAUCUUCUGAUUCCUCCUCCCAGUUUUUCGACGAUCGUCGUUUACGUCUAGCAUUGACGGAACCACGUCUUCCUUCGGAGCUUCGAUGCUGGUUCCAAGUUCGUCAUUCUCGAGCGCGGCUAAAUGCUUGGAAUUCGCGAGUUACCGCUCUCAUCUCCGCUUUCAACUCUUCCAUUGUCAAUUCAAUCACGAUCAACCUUCCCUCCAUUCUUCUUCUUCACCGUGCUCCGUUUGCUCCUUCGAUACAGUUCCAGCAGGUCGGACCAAACUCGUUAGGUUCCUUUGUUCAGGAGACCAAACAAAACACUCUCUUCUAACAAUAACAUUCCAAACAGCAAAAGAUGAAAGUAUGUGUAUGUAAAUUAUUGAAUCUGUAACGUAUAUAAAGAGAAAUACAAUUAUAUGUCCCAAGGAAGCCUCCCUUCCUCCACUGGAAAAUGUCCAGUCUAUACCCAAAAGGAAAAUAUCUGCUAAUCCCCCUCUCCCCUAUUCUGUAAGUAAUUAUACUCUCUCUCUCCUAACAACUACCAACUUUCUCUCUGUUGAAUUCCCUCCUAACAUAAACUUUCUACCGUUCAGUAUUAGCCACUAUAUAUCGUUCGGUCCUACGCUCCCUCUUUUAUUCCUAACACCAUGUACCAAUAUCAUCCAACAAACUUAUAAACAGAGAUCAAUAUGAGUUAACAUGGAGAUCACCAUGAAAUAGAAUCAUAAAUAAAAUCCUCUACAAAAAAAAAAAAAACCGUUCAAUGAAUAAACAACCUCCAGCAACAGCUUGUUCAUUGUCUUCCCAUCUGAAUUUAUGAAGUCAAAUACUUCAAUAGGAAAGCCAUAGGAAUGAAGCAGGCGCAACAUUUUUUCCAUGACAAUGCUCACCUAUAACAAUCAUCAAUAAUACUCAGUAUUAUAACAACAAAGAUUUAAAUGUUGAAAGCAUAUAAAAAUUAACAUUUCAGAAAUCAAACAGUUUUAAAGAGCCAAAACAAGAAUGUGAAAAAGUAAUAAAUCCAAUGGCUUCUUUAGGCAUCAACCCCUCCCCAACACACAUAAAUGCACACAUCUAAAUAGCAUCGCAUCACAACUAAUUUCAUGAUAACUGAUUGCAAUUAAUAUUUCAUGCAUCCUUAAAGAUAGCCGUGUAUGAAUUUUAAAUUAGAUGAAAAGUCAUAGUAUACAAAAAUCAUUUCCAAAAGAACUCACCUUGCUAUCAACUUUAAGGACUGGUUUAUUGCCCAUAUAAAGUGCAACCAUCAAUUGAAGAACCGGAAUCUCUAAGGGAAAAUUAAAAGGAGUAAUAAUUGCCACCUAUAGAGCACACUUCCAGAUUUAGGAUUACAACAAGAAUGAAAAGUAAAUGUUUAUGGAGUGUGAAAAAAAAAAUCUAAAUCAGGCACUCACGAUAAAACUCAAACUUCUCAGUUGCAUCACUAAUCUAAGCAAAAUUCAAUUCAACAUCAAAAAGCGUCUUAUUAUUUUUAAUGUCUCUUCAUGACUAGAAGUCGAGUCACAUCUAUAAAGCAUAAUCUUUUUUUGUAGAAAACAAAAAACGACCUUUUAUCAAAGAUGCCGAUAAGAGCGUAAAAGACUUGAAGUUUUCUAGUAGGUACAAAUACCUGAAUUCUGGGUUUUGCCUUAUUAUCAUAUGGAACUUAUUGAAAUUCCAUGCAAUAUUAUUUUUUCCAUUUUGGGAUAUAAUACCUAAAGAACCAAAGGGAAAUCAGCCACUCCUGCCAAGGUCAUCGAUGUACAUGGGCUUAUGCAACUGAAUUGACAUUUUAACAGUUACACCAUAAUCGACCUUUUAAAUAAUAACUUGAAGUCACAAAAUUAUUACAUUUUACUAGGUUUUAUAUUGGAAUAAUUGCUAUUAUUUUUCAUUUAAUCCAUCUCUUAGAGCACACUUAACCAAUUACUCAUAAACUGACUAGUGUGACAAAAGGUGACUGAUAAUUUUGAUACACCGAACAAAAACACUGUUUAUGAUAGAAUGAAAGACUCAUAUUUUGCCUUUCGUAGUAUGAUAGCAUAACAAACAUAUCAAUUAUAACCAUGACAGAACUAAACAAAACAUAAUCCUUACAGGACCAUAUGGCCAACGAAAACAAUGACUUUGCUGCCCAAGAUGAUUUCCAGGUACAGCAAAAGACCUCGCUAGGAAACGAACCUGUCAAGAUUUUGUUGAAAUGAAACAACAAAGAAGAAAUCAUUACAGGAAUUGUGAGCUUAUGUAUCAGUUUCUCUCCACAUAUGCAUGCAUCAGUGUUAAAUUUUUCCAUUAAUGAAUGAGGUAUAUUUUUCCAUUAACGAAUGAGGAAUCUAGGUAUCAACAAAAGAUAGGAAAUUGAUCAAUAUCCAUCAGUAAAUGGGAAAUCUCUAGAAACUUUUGUGUCACGUACACUUCCCUAAAAGCCUGCUAGAAGCUCUUCGGAGAAACUCUUUGAAUUAACCUUGUAAAAAAAUCUGAAACCUGAAGGUCAUGUAGUAUAAAUUAUUCAAAGCAUUCAACUAAAGAAGAAAAAGUUGACGUUGAAUACUGCAUUUAACAUACAUAAUAAAGUAGCAUUAAGUGAAUAAUGAUAAAGUUAAAAAACUAUUUCUUUAGUUUGAAACCUUAGGAAGUGAUAGCAUGUGUAGAUAUAUCUCCAUACAUGAGAUAUCUCCAAAAAGUUUAUAGCAAAAGCCAAAUUAAAUUUCAUAAAGAUAGUCAAAAUUAGAACAUAAGAAUAGAUAUCAUGCACUAAUGCAUAAAAUACUAGUAACUAAAAUGCCCAAGUUAGUUGCUUUUUUGGAGUGAAAAUGAAAGUUGUGACAUAAAGGUCUAGGGUGAGGUCCUGUCAAUUUAUUUUCACUUUUGACCAAGACAAACAUAAAUCCAACAAAUAAAACAUAUAUUUAUAUGUUUAUAUUUCUACAAAGAAAAUGAAGAAGAGAUACAAAGGAAUCUUUUCACCCACCGCUCUGGUGCCUUAAAAGGAUUGUGUACAUGUACACCAUGCUUGGGACAGCUGCACAAGCUUUCCACAAAAGGCUGAUACGUCCAACAAAAGGAAAAUUUUAGUCAAUAUCUCAGUCAAAAAUUACUGUUGAAUUCCAAUCAAGUACCAACUCAAGUAUAGUCUUCGAAUAGAAAUUUAUUUCUUUGACAGCCCUUCCUCACAAACAUAGAUUUAAGGUUUGAACUUGAACCUCCUAUUCAAAAAAAAGGUGUGCAGUGUGGUGACUAAUAAACCCCCGUAAUUUCUUAGUUUGAUGGAUGAGUAAGUAAUAAAAAUAACACAGCCUUCAACAUAUAAUUCACACGAUAACUUCUCAUCUAACAGUACACAUUCAUCCAAGCAUUAAUAUAACUACAUUUAAAUUUCAAGAAAUUAAUAUUAACCCCACGCAUAUCAAGUUUUAUAUCAUUCGAGCUCAAAUAAUCAUACCCUAAUUUCCUUGCCCCAAAUAGACAAUCUCAUCACAUACAAGCAACCAACAAAGCCCGAAUAACUAAUAUAUAUAGGACGCACAAACAGCCUCUAACUCACCCCAACUGCUGGAACUUAAUUUUCCCCAACUUCCACCGCAUCGUACUCACAUCAUUGCACCCAUAAUAUUUACAGUCUCAUCCAAAUUUAAUCAUAAGUAUUCAUGAACAUAUCUUACAACAGAAUAGUACAAAAACGAGAAUCCAAAAGCCCCAACAUAAUCACAGAACAAUACUAUACAAAUUCAAAAUCAAUUUAGCUCUCCGUACCUUGAAAAUUAAUCUUCCUCACUGCACAACUUCUUCUACCGAGCUUAAAAUCCCGCGUUCCUCUUUUCGCAACCUCUUUCUCUCACUCAACUCCAACCCUAACACCCGCCNUAGAUAUCCCUUUUUCCAUUACUCACAUUGAAACCGAGCCUUGAUCCCUAGUUAUGUUUCUCUCCGGACGUUUAAUGUCCUCUCUCUCACUUGCCGCUAUUUCCCCUCCGGUCCUAUGGUUUCAGAUAAGAAAAAUAAAAAGAAAACAAAGGAGGAAAAAGAGAUGAUGGAAGCCGCUCCGAGAAGAACAUCAAGCGAAGUGAGGUUGACUUCUUGAAGCUCCCUCCGGUGAAUGAAUCGUAGCAGAAUGAUGACAAUAAUUCGAAGGAGAACU